CGCGCAGGCGGUGAUUUAAGUUUGGUGUCUAAGGCACGGGCUCAACCUGUGUACGCACUGAAAACUGGAUCACUUGAGUGCGAGAGAGGAAAGUGGAAUUCCACGUGUAGCGGUGAAAUGCGUAGAGAUGUGGAGGAACACCAGUGGCGAAGGCGACUUUCUGGACCGUAACUGACGCUGAGGCGCGAAAGCGUGGGGAGCAAACA
rnacentral:rRNA from 1 species